rnacentral:rRNA from 1 species
AUUGAACGCUGGCGGCAUGCUUUACACAUGCAAGUCGUGCGGCAGCGCGGGGGCAACCCUGGCGGCGAGCGGCGAACGGGUGAGGAAUACAUCGGAACGUACCCCGGAGUGGGGGAUAACCCAGCGAAAGUUGGACUAAUACCGCAUAUGCUCUGAGGAGGAAAGCAGGGGACUUCGCAAGAGGCCUUGCGCUCUGGGAGCGGCCGAUGUCCGAUUAGCUAGUUGGUGGGGAAUGGCUCACCAAGGCGACGAUCGGUAGCUGGUCUGAGAGGAUGAUCAGCCACACUGGGACUGAGACACGGCCCAGACUCCUACGGGAGGCAGCAGUGGGGAAUUUUGGACAAUGGGGGCAACCCUGAUCCAGCCAUGCCGCGUGCGGGAAGAAGGCCU